UUACGGGAGGCAGCAGUGGGGAAUAUUGCGCAAUGGGGGAAACCCUGACGCAGCAACGCCGCGUGAGUGAAGAAGGCUUUCGGGUUGUAAAGCUCUGUCAACGGGGACGAAGUCUGGAGGGAAAAUACACCUUCAGGUGACGGUACCCGAGGAGGAAGCCCCGGCUAACUACGUGCCAGCAGCCGCGGUAAUACGUAGGGGGCGAGCGUUGUCCGGAAUUACUGGGCGUAAAGGGCGUGUAGGCGGUUAUCCAAGUCAGGUGUUUAAGCUGCCGGCUUAACCGGGAGAGUGCACCUGAAACUGGGUGACUUGAGGGCAGGAGAGGGAAGUGGAAUUCCUAGUGUAGCGGUGAAAUGCGUAGAUAUUAGGAGGAACACCAGUGGCGAAGGCGACUUCCUGGCCUGUCCCUGACGCUGAGGCGCGAAAGCGUGGGGAGCAAACAGGAUUAGAUACCCCGGU
rnacentral:rRNA from 1 species